AUGCACCAUAUGUAUCCCAACUCUCAUGCAUCAGCAACCCCACAAAUCGUUAUACCAAUGAACAACAUGGUGAGUUUGGUUAAUAAAUUUGAAACACCUCAUGUUAGGAUUUCCAAUGCCAUGCAAGAAAGUGUUUCACCCUUUUAUUCAUCGGUAAGUAAUGUGCAAUAUACUAAUCCAACCAUGCCGAUGAACGAGAGAAUUGGCCAUGCUACUACUAGCUAUUCGACCAGUUAUUCCCAACCGUCAUAUGCUACACCUCAUGACAAUAAUUUUUCAGCACCAUACACAACUGUAGAUGUUCAUAAUUCGGCUUCCGACCUUCCUGGUCAUAGGCGAGUGAAUGUAAAUUUUACAGGAGCGGUUGCGCCCAAUAUUGUAGAAGAUGAGGUAGUGGUGGUUGCAUUGAAGAGUUUAGCCCAAAAUAAGAGGAUUAGUGCUCUUUGCCUUGAACAACAUGAAAAGUGGCUAUUUUCUUAUUAUGCCCCAAUAAAAGCUAGAGUUUUGCAAGAAGAUGAAUCUUUGCCAAUUGAUAAAAUUGGCGGGCAAAAAUAUGGUUUUACAACAAUGCAUAUGCCUUCACCUAGUACUACAUCAUAUUAUACACCCCUACACUAUUGCAAAAUUUUGGCAACACCCGUGUGUCAUUGCCAAAAGAAUCUAAAAGCAUUGGGGGGCAAUCAUAUCCGGAGUGGGCUGAAAUUGAGAAAAAGCUUAAAGCCAACUUUGCCGCUCGCCGCCAGAAACAAAUAG
rnacentral:rRNA from 1 species